CGCAUGAACAUUAGCUGUGCAAGCCGGGAAAAUGCCGUGUUUUUAGCAUAAUCUCAGUGGAACAUUUUCUCUUUGGAAUGUUGAUAAUGGAACAACAUGAGGGUAGUGUGAAUUCUCGCCCCUGGUCAACAGCGAUGUCCCGGCACACUUCUGCAGUCUUCCGGAGGAUGGCGAUCUGUGUGAUUUCUCGGUGGGUGAGGGAGCCAUUAGAAGAGAGGGGUUUGAAGGCUGCAGCCAGGGGUGGUUGAG